UCAGAAGUCACUAAGUCAAGCC
rnacentral:siRNA from 1 species